AUUGAACGCUGGCGGCAGGCCUAACACAUGCAAGUCGAGCGGAUGAAGGGAGCUUGCUCCUGGAUUCAGCGGCGGACGGGUGAGUAAUGCCUAGGAAUCUGCCUGGCAGUGGGGGAUAACGUCCGGAAACGGGCGCUAAUACCGCAUACGUCCUGAGGGAGAAAGUGGGGGAUCUUCGGACCUCACGCUAUCAGAUGAGCCUAGGUCGGAUUAGCUAGUUGGUGAGGUAAAGGCCUACCAAGGCGACGAUCCGUAACUGGUCUGAGAGGAUGAUCAGUCACACUGGAACUGAGACACGGUCCAGACUCCUACGGGAGGCAGCAGUAGGGAAUAUUGGACAAUGGGCGAAAGCCUGAUCCAGCCAUGCCGCGUGUGUGAAGAAGGUCUUCGGAUUGUAAAGCACUUUAAGUUGGGAGGAAGGGCAGUAAGUUAAUACCUUGCUGUUUUGACGUUACCAACAGAAUAAGCACCGGCUAACUUCGUG
rnacentral:rRNA from 1 species